AAAGUCGUAACAAGGUUUCCGUAGGUGAACCUGCGGAAGGAUCAUUACUUGAUUGUUAAAAGGUAUCUCUUAACUUAGUGGGGUAACUUGCUUAAGUUAAGGUGGUAUCUUAAAUCAACAUUGUGAACUUGCUUCUUAUGUUAAAUUAGUUGUAACUUAAGGCUUAACUUAACUUGACCUUAACAGUCAAGUGUCUUGAAUGACAAACAACUUUCAGCAAUGGAUCUCUUGGCUCUU
rnacentral:misc_RNA from 1 species